rnacentral:rRNA from 1 species
AUGAAUGCACGUGAUCUAGGACUAUUUGCUUUGGUGCUUAAUGGAUCGCAUCAUGCAUCCUAUUUAAACUGCAAUGCUUUACAUCUAAUGUUAUUUUUUGAGUCAUGGAACAGUGGCGGUCUUGAAGCGGUGGUGCCUUUAUAUACCAAGACUGGAUACAAAAUAAGGUUGAUUUUUGUUUGCUCUGACGAUAGGGAGGCAAGACCAGGAUCACAUUCUUGGCCCCGUUUGAAGGAACGACGAUUUUCAGGAUUGACGUGGAUUGAUUUUCUUGAACAUGAAGAAGAAGGCCAAGGCACAUCAAUCCAACACCAACCCACCUGCUAUGGAACUAAGGGAGGAAGGAAAAAGAACAUUGCCCCUGAAGGCUCGAGACGCACAAACAGGAAGCUGAGUUCGGCAAAGACACCUUGUGCUUUCUUAAGUGGUCCGUAA